CCCUUAGAUGUUCUGGGCCGCACACGCGCUACACUGAAGGAGGCAGCGUGUACUCCUGGAUCGAAAGAUUUGGGUAACCCGCGAAUCUCCUUCGUGCUAGGGAUUGAGGUUUGCAAUUAUCCUUCAUGAACGAGGAAUUCCCAGUAAGUGCAAGUCAUAAGCUUGCGCUGACUACAUCCCUGCCCUUUGUACACACCGCCCGUCGCUACUACCGAUUGAAUGAUUUAGUGAGGACUUCGGACUGGGACCGAUGCGGCUUUCGGGCUGCGUCGGUAUUCUGGAAAGAUGUCCAAACUGUAUCAUUUAGAGAAAGUAAAAGUCGUAACA
rnacentral:rRNA from 1 species